CCUACGGGAGGCAGCAGUGAGGAAUAUUGGUCAAUGGGCGGAAGCCUGAACCAGCCAAGUCGCGUGAGGGAUUAAGGCCCUACGGGUUGUAAACCUCUUUUGUCAGGGAGCAAUGGCGUCCACGUGUGGGCGUAUGGAGAGUACCUGAAGAAAAAGCAUCGGCUAACACCGUGCCAGCAGCCGCGGUAAUACGGAGGAUGCGAGCGUUAUCCGGAUUUAUUGGGUUUAAAGGGUGCGUAGGCGGGCCCUUAAGUCAGCGGUAAAAUUGCGGGGCUCAACGCCGUAGAGCCGUUGAAACUGGCGUUCUUGAGUGAGCGAGAAGUAUGCGGAAUGCGUGGUGUAGCGGUGAAAUGCAUAGAUAUCACGCAGAACCCCGAUUGCGAAGGCAGCAUACCGGCGCCCAACUGACGCUGAGGCACGAAAGUGCGGGUAUCGAACAGGAUUAGAUACCCCUGUAGUC
rnacentral:rRNA from 1 species